rnacentral:lncRNA from 1 species
CUGGAUAAAUAAAAUCUUUCCCAUUAAAGGGUUACAUAAUAAAGUCUCCCAGGUUGUCUAACCUUUAAAUAUAAUCAUUCAAAUGCGGAAUUCAAAUUAUUACAUAACAUCAUUAUUAAGAAGUCUAUGAUCAUCACAAUAAAUAAAAGUACAAAUCAGCAUCACUUGUACAAUUUUCCCUUUCCUUUGCUAGUUGAAGGUUUAUCUACCUUCUCUACUUUAGCUGCAAUGAGUUUAUAAAUAUGCAAGAGUGAGCAAAAUAAUUGCUCACUGGAUAAAAUAAUGAAUCACAAAAGAAUAACAAUAAUAACUGCCAAUGAGUAGGCUCAUCAAAACUAGAUAGUAUUCUAACAAUGAUAAUCAGGAACUGAAAUCAAAUGAAUGGAAUAAACAUAAUCGAGGGUCAUAAGACCAUGAACUAUAUCCAUAGUUGCGAGUAAUCUUUUAACUCCAACUUUAACAGUCAUAAGACUAUAAGGACACCUCGUACUUAGGGGGAUCAGCCCUUCGUACCAUGUAUUGUGCACAAAUAUUUAACGCUACGCGUAAGUUACCCCCUAAUAAUAGGGUUGUUCAUCUCAGUAUUUAGAGUACAAGUCCGCACCAAAGAGAGUUUGGUUUGGAUAAGUUUUCAAGGGUAAUUUGAAAUUCAACGAUCAUCAACUAGAGGACUAGUUGAAUUAAUACUAAUAACAUCAUAUUAUAGAAUACUCGUAAUUGAAUCGUCAUGGUAAAUUAAAAUCAUGCUUUAGGAAUAAUCUAAUAGCAUACAACUUGAAUAACUAUAACACACCUUGCUUGAAAAAUAUUAAGCCAAUGUUAUUUAGAAUUGAAUACUAAGCAUGCAUGGCGAUAUGAACGAUAAACUAUUCAAAUAUAUUCGGGCAUGCUAAACAACAAGUUAAAUACAAGAAUAACUUGUUCAACAUCAAAAACAAAGUUUAGAAACCUUGCAUUAUUAUAUUGGAAACCAUAAUUAGUUCAAGCAAGAUAAAGGAUUAGAAAACUUGCCUUGCUCGUAGGCUAAACCGAAUCAAUUCGGAUCACAAUACCCUAUAUGUACAUAUAUAUAUAUAUAUAUAUAUAUAUAUAUGUCAUCAUGACAUAGUUAGUCACUACUACUUUACAAAUUUAACUAACUACAUACAUCAUAUAGGUUUGAUUAUUUAAUCAUAUAAUCAAGUUAUAACACAAGUUAAUCGUUAAUAACAUACUUAUUCAUAGUAUAAAAAUACUAAAAUCAACAUUUUACAGUCCUACUAUCAUCACAUAACAAUUCCUUAAAAUUUUGAGUACAAAAAGUACACUGUCAGACCAUUCUGCUAACUCGCACUACGGCGCCACAGUGUAUACUGUGGUGCGCGCGGAGAUGGUGCUACGGCGUGAGAAUAAAGCUACAAGGCCGCGCUGUGGCGUGGCGCUGUGGCGCGAAAAAUGAACUGCUGGGCCGCGCCGCGGCGCCAAACUGCAGUUUCGACUGACAGCUUCGGCAACAGUAUAAGUAAAAGCCAAUUUUGGCCUACAAGCUCGUUUCUAACAGUCUAAUUCACAUAUAAUUCAUACAAAGACUUCAUGUAAACAUAAUUUAAGAACUCCUAACAUGAUUCUACCCAUACAACAACAUAAACAACUAAUUUAAAACAUCCAAUUUCACUAUUUUUGAUAAAAAUUCACUUUUUGAUAUUUUUGAUGAAAAUCAAUACUGUGAUUUUGUUUUUCAACCAAAACAAUUAAUUUAAAUCAUUUUAUCAAAGUAUAUACAUACUCUAACAAAUUGAAUAGCCUAUUUAUCAAUAAAACAACUAAACAACCCAUAAUUUCUAUUUUAAAUUAACCCAUAUUCAUUCACAUAAACUCUCUGUAAAAAGGUUUUCUUCAUAAACUACAUACAUAACAACAAUUCAUUGAUUAUAAUCAUAUAAAACUUAUGAAAAUAACUUUACAACACUAGUUAAUCAUAUGAAUACCCAUAAAAUCAACAAUUUACCCUAUCACAAGAAUUUUACAGAGAAAUAGGAGAAGAGAAAACUAAAACUUUUAAAACUUAAAAAGGGUAGAAGAAUAACUUGCUUGUAGAAGAUGAUAGUUAUCCUUUUGAUUAUCAAGCGUUUCUCCAAUUCCUUUUUCCAAUUCUCUAGCCUUUCUUCCUUUCUUCUUUUCUCUCUCACUUUUCUUCUUCUCUUCUUCUUCUUCCUCUGAGUUUUUUCUUCCUAACACUAACUAGCGUACUAACAAAAUAACGUAUAUAAUAUAAUAUGUACUAAUUAUAUAACAUAAAUAUUAAUAUAACUGAUAUCAGUUAUAAUAGAUUUGAAAAUCAAAAGCCAUAAGGCUUGUUUGGUUAACUAACUAAAAAUAACCCAUUAACCCUUACACCUUGUUUGGUAAAGCACAAUUAGAUUAAAGACUUAAUAGGCAUUAGGCCUUAUUUGGCAAAACUGAAUUAAAACUCCUUUAAGUUAUUUUAAUAACUACUUUAUAAAAGGUUAUUUGUCACACUUUAUAACCAUUUAUUAAAUCACUACAUCACAUAAACCAAUACCACAAAAUUAUAAUUUUCUAUAUAAUUAUAACUUUAUUUAAUCAACUAACACAUCUUUUAAUUACAAAUUCAAAUAAAAGAAUAAUAAUUCAAUUAAUCAAACUCUCUAACUUAAUAAUUAAAUUAAAUUAGCAUAAAAUAAUUAAUUUCCUUAAUUAUUUAUUUAACAAAUAGUUAACCAAAUUGAAUCAAAUUUGAACAAUUAUUUAUUUAACAAUAAACACAUCCAUUAAAUACUUAAAUAUUUCAAUAAAUAUUUAAUAUAACAAUAAAAAUUCUGGAAUGUUACAUCAUUCCCUCCUUACAAGGAUUCUGUCCCCAGAAUCACAAUUCAAACAAUUCAUUCGUCACAAUAUUGUUUCCAUAAAUUUUGAGAUAUGGGUUUUCCAUUAUUAGGUUUUCCAUAAUUAUGGAAAUAAUUUUGAAUUGCAUAAAAAUAAAUAUGGAAGUGCUUAAUUUAUGGAACAAUUUAAUUGGGUAUUUAAAAUUAAUAAGGAAAUAUUUUAAAUGCUAAUUUUUGAAUCUGCCCAACCAAUUAGGAAAUUAAUAUCUUUUUGUAUAACAAAAUUACUAAUUAAAGCUACCCAUUAUUUUGUUAAGUGAUUAACCUUCCAUGAUAUCUAAUUUGAUAAGCCUACUUUAAAGCAACAUGUUUUCUUAAGUCACAUGAUUAGCUCAAUGAAUGAUGGUAUGAUAUAAGUAUAUUAACAAAACAAAAUCUUUAGUUAUUCAUAUUAUCCUAUUUGGCGAAAUUAAUGUGGAUAUAUAUUGGAAUAUUUAAAUGGGCUUACCUUAAUGGUAAAUAUCAGUGGAGCAUGUAAUAUAAAUUGGUUGAAUUAUAUCAAAAGGCUAACGUCUUUAUUGUAAGACUCAUUAGUGGCUGGAAUCAAUUAGUGGGGUUGUUUCAACAAAUCAUAUAUCUAAUUGAUUUGGUAGUCUAUCAUCUUUUAACAACCUUAUCCUACUAUGAUAUCAACUUAUUCCAUAAUGGUUCUAACAGGAAAAAAAAAGAUUGCAACAGCUAUGUUUUCAAGGCCGAUUCCUUUGAUAUUUCCAACAGGCAUCAAAAUAGCUAAACUAUAAAAGGAGUCUAGUUGCUCAGAAAAGAACUACGGACAUAAAAAUUAGAAUACCUUAUAUACACUAUGACCUUUCUUCACAUACAAUUAUAAGGGCUGCAAAGUUGUCAAUUGUGAAGUAUUUUUAAAAAAGCUGUUACACUUCAAGAUAUAUCAAUGAAUCAACAAGAUAAUAAUAACUGCCAAUGAAUAAGCUCAUCAAAGCUGAAUGGUACUCUAUCAGUGAUAACCAAAGACUGGAAUCAAAAUAUGGAAUAUAUAUCUGAGGGUCAUAAGACAACGAACUAUGUCCAUAGUUGCGAGUAAUCUUUCAACUCCAACUUUAACAGUCAUAAGACUAUAAGGACUCCUCGUACUUAGGGGGAUCAACCCUUCGUACAAUGUAUUGUGCACAAACAUUUCAAAGCUAAGCGUAAAUUAUCCCCUAAUAAUAGUAUUCUUCAUCUCAGUAUUUAGAGUACAAGUCCGCACCAAAGAAAGUAUGGUUUGGAUAAGUUUUCAAGGGUAAUUUGAAGUUUAACGAUCAUCAACUAGAGGACUAGUUGAAUGAAUAGUGUUUGAUAACACAACAGUUGAUCAAUAAUAACAUAAUAUGGAACAAUGAAUAAGUGUAAGCGAACUAACUACAUCUUGAACUCAUGCUUAGAAACAAUUACAAAGCAUAAGUAUUGAAUGACAAUAAACCUUGCUUGAAAAAUAUUAAGCUAGGACUAUGAAUUAUUGAAUAUACAUUAAGUAAUAGCAAGCUGAAAAUAAAGCUUGCUCAUUAUGAGAAUAGCUUGUGUCAAGUAAAUGAACUAAGAUAAUUCAACAUUAGAAAUUAGAAUUCAUAGAAAAUUGCAUUCAUAAUACACGAAUGACAAUAAAGAAACUUGUCUAACAAUAAACAAGUUAGAAUACAUCAAUAAAUAUUGGAAUUCAAAACUUGUUCGAAUAAAGUUAAAGUCAUAGCUAGCUUGUUCAAAUAAUAAUUAGGAAUACAAGAGUUCGCUUAAUGAAAGUUUAAAGUAAGAAACUUGCUCAACAUAAAUGUUGAGUUAGAAAACUUGCCUCGAGCGUAAGCUAUAAUAUUAAACUCACGUUCACCUACACAUAGGUUUAGAACCACAAUACCUAUUAGAUAUGCUAACAUACCAUAACAUGUACAUUUCUAGCUAAACUUAUCAUUUUAGCACAAGUCUUAUGCUACUAUACAAAUAUCAGAAAUUUCAAGUGUUAACCUUCACAACACCUGUUUACUUUUCAUCAUGCUCACUAAGCCUAACAUGCCACGUUCAUUACUUACUAAUCAUUUGAAACUUUAAAUUUACUAACCACAUAACACAACUUUUUUUAACCUUGUUGUUACGUGUUUAUCAUACUAACACAUCAUUGGACCAUGGUAUGAUGCUAUCCCAUAACUGCAGCAGUAGCAGAAGUCACUAUCCCAAACCAGGGUAUGGUGCAGCUGCGCCAUACACAGGCCUGGGACGGGCGCAACACGUAGCUGCGCUGGUGCACAGACAGAGACAGAGACGGCUAUGAACAGUAGCCGACUUUAGCCCAACAACCACGAAUUUCACCCACUAAACAGUAAUAUUAACACGAACAAUUGAUACAAAACCAUCAUAAACAUAUUUGCCAACAUAUUCCUCAACAUAAAACAAUUUAACAACAAUUACACUAGUUUAAUUUCCUCAAAUUCCAUAUUUUUAUAUAAAACUUCAUUUUUGAGUUCCUUAGAUCAACACUGUAAACACAAUUCUUGUCCAAAUUGCUUCAUUCAAAUUACGUUGUCUUCGUUUCUUAAUGAACUAGCAUAAUCAAGCCUCAAUUUGCAGUUUAGCAUACUAAUUAACCAUCAUAAUUGGUACUUCAUAAGCCAUAUGAGAAAACAUACUGGAAUUUACUUUUCUUCCUUUUUAAGCUGUAAUUAGCAUACAAUCAUAAGCUCUAGCAUCACAAAUUACAUAUAAAUUGCAAUAACUCAGUUUUCUACAACAAUUCGAGAGAAUUUGAAUUCACAGAGCACAUAUAAGUUAUGUCGUAACCUCAUAUAUACAUAUUUAUAUAUAUAAUAUUAAGGUUGUAUAAGAAGUACCUUCAAAUUGCUUGCAAUCCUUUUUGUUAAACACUGAAAAUUCUCUAAAAUCCUUCUCUCUCAAAUUCUCUCAAGCUCUAUCAAGCUCUCUCUGAACUCUCAGUGUUCUUCCUAGGCAACUAAGGUUAUGCGUAAAAACCCAAACUGAUAAUCAAGCGUAAGAAAUAAAACUGAUAACCUUAAUACGCCAAACUUAAUAAAAUGUCAGUUACAAAACAAACGUAUAUAUUAUAAAUAUAUUAUAUUUAUUAUUUAUUUUAUUUUAUUUACUUUAUUUAUAAUUCAAAAUUCAAAAACUAAUAAUCCAAAUGCCAUAAGGCUUUGUUUGGCAAAACCCUUUAAAAUUUAAAGACUUAAUAUUUUAAGCCUUGUUUGGCAAAAACUAAAUUAAACUCCCUUAAUUUAUUUUAAUAAACCAUUUAGUUUAUAAUUUAUAAUUACAUCUUAUUUAUUUGGAUUUCCAUAUCCAUCAUUUAUUAAAUAAAUCAAUCACAUUCUAUAUUUUAAAUAAAUUUACCAUUUAAACAAAUAACACAAAAUUAUAAUUUCAUUAUAAUUUUAUUUAAUAAUUUAAUAUACCAUUUUAAAUUAUUAAUUAACAAUAUAACACCUCAUGUCAAAUUACAACUCUCUAAAUUAUAAAUUAAUUUAAUUUAGAAUAUUAUCUAAUAAAUUUAGAUUCAUAAAUAUAUAUUAACAACCAUCACAUCAAUAAAUAUUUAUUCAACAAUAAACACCUCAAAUAAAUAUUUAUAUAAUUCAAUAAAUAUUUAAAAUUAUAAUUUGAAAUUCUGGAUUGUUACAGAAACCUUAAUAUCCAAGUCCCACAUUGGGUCACUUAUAAAAGUCUUAAGUAAGUUUUUCUUAUAAAAAGACUUCAAAGUGAAACAUUAAGAGUCAAGUCCCACAUUGGUUCACUUAUAAAAGUCUAAUGAAGUUUUCCUUAUAAAUAUUGGUUCACUUAUAAAAGUUUAAGUAAGUUUUCCUUGUAAAAAGAUUUCAAAGUUAAACCUUAAUAACAAAGUCCCACAUUGGUUCACUUAUAAAAGUCUAAGAAGUUUUUCUUAUAAAAAGACUUCCAAGUGAAAUCUUAAUAGCCAAGUCCCACAUACUUUGGAAAAUCUUAAUAGCCAAGUUCCACAUACUUACUUUGGAAAAUCUUAAUAGCCAAGUCCCACAUAUUUAUAAAAGUCUAAGGAAGUUUUUCUUAUAAAAAGACUUCCAAGUGAAACUUUAAUAGCCAAGUCCCACAUUGGUUCACUUAUAAUAGUCGUAAGGAAAUCUUAAUAGUAAAGUCCCACAUUGGUUCACUUAUAAAAGUCUAAGGAAGUUUUCCUUAUAAAAAGACUUCCAAGUGAAACCUUAAUAGCCAAGUCCCACAUUGGUUCACUUAUCAAAGUCUAAGGAAGUUUUGCUUAUAAAAAAACUAUUAAGUAUGAAAUGAGACCUUAAUAGCCAAGUCCCAAGGGAAACAUUAAUAAUUGGUGGUUUACAAGUUCUAUAUUAAUAAACUUAAAUUAUUUAUCAAUAAGUUGGGAAAGAUCUGCUCCAAAGUUAGAAUAAAAGUCUCAAGUCCACAUUGAUUAAUAAAAAUUUAAGGAAGACCUUAAUAAUUGGUUAAUUUAUAAAAGUCUAAGGAAAUUUUUCUAUAAAAAAACUACAAGUGAGACCUUAAUAGUCAAGUCUCACAUUGAUUAUUUUUCUAUAAAAAAAACUAUAAGUGAGACCUUAAUAGUCAAGUCCCACAUUGGUUAUUUUUUAAAAGUCUAAGGAAGUUUUCCUUAUAAAAAUACUACUAAGUGAGAUCUUAAUAGGAAAGUCCCACAUUGGUUAUUUUAUAAAAGUCUAAGGAAGUUUUCCUUCUAAAAAGACUACUACCAAGUGUGAUUUUAAUAGCAAAGUCCCACAUGGGUUAUUUUAUAAAAGUCUAAGGAAGUUUUCCUUCUUAAAAGACUAUCAAGUGAAGUUUUCCUUGAGACCUUAAUAGCCAAGACCCACAUUGGUUAUUUUGUAAAAUUCUAAGAAAGUUUUUCUUAUAAAAAGACUUCCAAGUCUUUUAUUUUUUAAUUGGGUUGAAUUUUAGUUUGAAGAAGGUUGGGCCUAAUACAAGUCAUGGGCUACUUGACCUUUAGCCGAAUUUAGGCUCAAAAACAAGUCUUGGGCUGCUCUUUCUUGUUAUAACUGCAAAUUAAAGAAACUAACCUUCUAUUUCAUGGGCUUCUAAAGCCUCUUAUAUUGUUCUAACCAAUUUUCACACGUUCGUCCUACAUCAUUUCUCCUUUGUUGAAAAAAACAUGACUACGUCGAGUUAAAAACAUCACUACGAGAAUAAUCACGCUAGAUCACCAAGGAAUUCUUUACAAAAUUAAAAGUUGGUAUGUCGAUAGCACAUGUAAGAGUGAACCUGAUAUGGCCUUUGAUAAUUGAAUAGAUAUUAGCACGAGCAUCAUGUUGCGCACGAUGAUCCCAUAACCAUGUACGCCCUAAGAUAAUGUUACAAACAUUAAGGGGUAGAAUAUCACACAUAACGGUAUCCUUAAGCUUGCCAACAGAAAAUGUAACUGAAUACCUCUGGGUAACCUGCAACUUUGUAUUGGUAAUCCAUACAACAUCAUACGGCUCCGGGUGAGGCUCAACUUUUAACCAAAGCUUAUUAACUGCUUCCUCUAAUAUAAUUUUCGUACAACUCCUAGUAUCAAUCACAAGAGAGCACACCUAUCCCGCACAUAUAACGCUCGUCUGAAAAAUUCGCCCAUGAUGAAUUUGAGAAUCAUCCUUACAUUUUUAAGCAACAAGUAAAGGUUGAAGAACACCUAAACAUCAUUCCAAAUGAGCAUUAGAUUCUAAAUCUUGCUCACCGGGUUCAUAUUCGUCGUUCAUCGGUUUGCAAACCUAAGGCUGUAAACGAGUAAACAGUUCGGGCUCGAGUGAACUCUGUACUAGAAUUGACAGCACUAACACUGCAAUCCAUAGAUACAAACAAUUAUAAAAGCUGUUCUAUAUCCUAGACUCGUACUUUAGGGGAUCAGCCUAAGUACCCUACAUUGUGCAUAACAUAACAGUCUAAUGACACUUUACAUGUCCUUCGGAAUCAUAUGUCCGAUACAAUAUGCCCCUAUAAAAGGGUUGUUCGUUCACAGCAUUAUAUAAGAAUCUGCACCACAACAAAAUGGUUUGGAAAAUAUUAUAUGAGAUUUUCAUGAAUAAUAUCAAUGUAUCUCAACAGUUGUCUAACUAAAAUAAUGGCAUUGGCAUACUUUCAAUAUAAACUUAUUUAAGAGAGAAGUAUUAUUCUUUUGAAGUUGAUUGGAAUAAAAAGGUUAUUUAGCCUUAUAUUAUUCAUAAAUAAUGAGAGACGGAUCAGAAAUUGGAGAACCUGUCCAUUCUAUAAUACUUGCUCAAUAAAGAGUAAGAGUUAGAAACAUGCCUCGUUUGUAGUCUAUUGUUAAGAUUUCAGCUUAAUUGAAGUGUUCUCAUAGAUCCUACACAGUUAUUUACAUUAGCAAGCAUGUUAGCCACAUAGCCAAGCCACAUAGUUUGUAAGCUCACAUAUCACGUAGUUUUAGUGAUCAUGGUUGUAUUUAGAUUCCUAUAUUUGAGAUAUUUUAUACAUUUUUCAAAUACCUCAUCCAUGUUUUCACAUUAGUCAUUUUUCACUUUGAUGGGAUUUGACAUACUUAUAUCAUGCAAUAGGAAUCACUUACCAUUUACAUCUUAUUCAGGAUUUAGAACAUAAAGAUUUCAUGUGUUCUUGAGUUAAGUCAUAGCAGCCCAUACCAAAGUAAUUUUGUGUUGGUUUAGACUUCUAAGCAAGCUUCUUUAUAUUUCUUGAAACUAAUGCCCAAACUAGGCCACUAUUCACAGUUUUGAGUUUACUAGUUUUGGUCCAUUAUUUCCAAUUUCAUUUCUAGCCACCUUGGUUCAUUCCAACACUUGAAUUAUAUCUAGUUAGGACUAGUUCUAGCAUCUUUAGGUUUACUAAGCAUAGAUUGGGUUUUGACCCUCUAAACCUAGCUUUUUCAAGCUUUUACACACUAACUUCUCAAGUUCUUGUAUAUAUUAGCAUUCCAACACUUGGAAUAACCUAGUAUAACUCUAACUCACUUGUCUAAGGUAUCCAAAUUGAGUUCUAAGUAGAAUAGAAAAAUCUCAAAUUUUCAUACUUAGACAAAUUUGCAAAACUACAGUUUUAAAGAUUUUCCAUGCUAGAUUGGUGAUUUGUUUAAAGUCCUUGGUUAAGCCAAGAGAAUAACCACUUGGCCCUACUUUUAGACCAUACUACAAGGUAUUUUAAUCAAGGUUUAGAUUUCUUGUUCAUGCCCAUUAAGCCUCCCAAAACAGGGCUCAAACUUAGCCAUUUUCUUAUUUUAUUACAAAACUGAUUUUGUACUUUUUCCAAAUUUUUCUUGUUUUGGCCACUAGGAUAGUCUAGGCAUGUGUAUUUAAGUUACUUAAGGAUACGUUUAGCAUCACCACACUUUAUUUAAUCAUCUAGCCCAUUUUGACCUAUCAAAGCUCACUUUAGGCUUGAAAAAGAGAUCUUAACUUGGUUCUCUUGCUAGCUUUGGUAAUGGCCAUGAUUUGGAAUCAUUACUAUCAUGUAUGAGCAACUUUAUAUAAGCUCACAAUAGUCCCUUAAUGUCAGGUACUAAGGAUUGCCCAAAAUAGCCCAUUUUUAGCUUUAAAAUGUGAUCUUUAACAAGUUUAAUGAUCAAAAAAGUUUAGACUUUGUUUCCUUAGCUUGUGUAGCUUAAUUAGGUCAUAUUUUAGCUAUUGGAACUUGUCUAUAUAGUCUAGAUAUGGUAGUUCUUCAUUUAGGUGCUAGUUGCUUUUUAAAGCUUACUUUCAUGGAUUUUUAAACAUGACUUUAUACAAUACACCUUGUAAACCUUAACUAACUUAGGGAACAACUUUUAAGUGAUAUUUUUAGACUAUUUAGAGACUUCAUAUUGCCUCUCAACUUCAGUUUGCAAACAUUACUCAUAACAGUCCUUUUUUAUCUUUUUAUGCCAACAACUAAGCUUGGCUUGGCCCUGUGAGGCUCAGCUAAGCUUGGUGUGGCCUUGUUUAGCCUCACGGCCCCUAAGUCAAAUCCAAAGCUACUAUUGCAGCUGUUAACUUGACAAUUGUUGCCACAAAUGAGCAGUUGCUCGGCCACUUUUCUUUAACUUUUUUAUAUUUGCAAACUCCCAAGGAUAGUCUAUAUGCCUGUUUAUAAACUAACUUAGACUAUACUUAUUAGUUAGCUCUAGACAACUAUAUUAGUUUGUUAAGACAGACUGCCCAAACUGCCUUAGUAGUCCUCUACUUGCCAACUGUUGCUAUUUUUUUCUAUAGCCAGUAGGCAGCAGUCCCAAGUCCUAUGCCAUUCAAAGGUUUUACUUCUUAACUUCAUGAAAUCUUGGCAUGCUAUAUGUGAUACAAUCCUAGUUAUGCUUACCUUCCAACUAGGCUGGGAGAAAAAGUUGUUAGUGCCACUAAAGGACACUGCUUCUGCUGUUGUGACACACUUCUUGCUGCUAUUUGCAGCAAAAUGCUGCCGCCAAUGGCAGCAGCUAUGCUCUUUAUCUCAGGGAAUUUCUGGCUUCAUAUUAGGUAGCUUAUUUAUAACUUAUUUCAAGAACUUUAUAGAUAAUAUACUCACUCUCAGUUAACUCAACAUUUGCAGCCAUUGAAUUACAUUUGCAAAUUGGUUUGUGACCACUGAUUGUCGGUACACGUUGCUGCCUAUGGGCAACAGCUCCUUUUCUUAUCCCUUUGUUUUGUUGCACUUUAUUCCCCCAUUCUUGACCCUCUUAUAUCAAGUGUUGGGUAUUUCAUAACUUAUAUUUAUUCUUAUUGUAGAGAAGUAUUACAUAAGUAUAUUUAGUAGUUUAAUUGUGCCAAACUAAAGCUCAAGGAAAGCUUCAACUGUUGCACAUGACUGCUGCUACUGUGAGCAGCAGCUGUACCACUAACUCCAUACCAUCUUUGGCUUGAAUUUGAGUUUUCGUUUCUAAUUGGCAUGCUUAUUCGCUCUAUUUUUAACCCCCUAUAGCAUACCAAUUUGUCCCAGCCCUUAAUUCUUUCUAGUAAUUAAUUUUUACUCAAAAUAGUUUACUGGGGACUUUUAACGAACAUGUGGUGUGCACAGUAUUGAUUUACCAGAUUCAUAGUCAUAGGUUUAUAACAUACAUCCUCAUUAUCCUUCUUAUUACUCCACAGCCCAACCUAUCUCCUUGUGCUUAACUUCAGUCCAUAUUAAUACAACAAUCAGCAUACCAGACAUUUUAAUUCAUAGAAUAGUUAACAUAGCAACCAAAAACAGAACUUAAUGUAACAGUCCUUCUAUUCCCAGCCAUUCAGAAUUUACAGUUCAGUUGCUUAACAAGGAUGGAAUGAAAAAGGAAUGAAAAGGGAUUUGAGGACUUACCUUUAUAGCUCAGUGUUUGCAAAUGGUUAUUGCUCAGUUUCUCUCCUUCCUCGAUCAGACUCCAUUUUCUUCUCUCUAAGUGUGUUACAGUUUUGAAGCUCAGUUAGUAGUACACCCACUGAGUUUGAGAUACUUAGUAUGGUUAUAAGUAGCUAAGAAGUAAAGGCUAACCAUCAUGGCUCUACUUAGCUGCUACCACCGUACUCUAACAGCCUAAGUCAGUUGCCCCUAUUUGCUCAGCUGAUACACUCCCCCUUGGAUCCUAUCUAGCUCCUUAUCUGGCCCCUAUACAGCAACCUAGAUUGGCCUCUAUAAGACUCUUGCUGGGCUACCUUUGCUAGUAGCUACAUUGACCCUUAUUGUUGCCUGAAAUUUUAGCUCUUACAGUGAUUAGCCUCUCAG